AUCUGUGGUCAUGCCACCCUGAACAAGCUCGAUCCUGUCUGAUUUCAGAAGCUAAGCAGGGUCGGGCCUGGUUAGUACUUGGAUGGGAGACCACCUAGGAAGACCAGGUGCUGUAGGUG
rfam:Pteropus alecto contig27983, whole genome shotgun sequence.